CAUCAUCGAGUCAACGUCUUUACGCCUCGCCCAGUUCGUCAUCGAGUCAACGUCUUUACCCCUCUGCUCGAGCUCUCGCCGCCGCCGCCACCACCUCCGCCUCCGCUCGAACCCUCACCGCCGCCGCCACUUCCACCUCAAAAUUGGAUGCUCGUGCUACCCAGUCCCUUCCUCCGUUUCCUCUCGUGCACCAUGCCGCUCUCCCCAUCCCCGGCCCCCACACCUCAGCCUUGACGCUUCGCCUCAGCGCCGCGCUGGCCGGCGGCCUCGCCAGCCUGCUGCAGGCCGAUGCUCCAGGUCAACGCCGCCGCCUCCCGACGUCAAUCACGGAGACCCCGUCACUGCGUCGUCGUCCUCUGCUUGAGCUUGCGACGGCCGCGGCGUGCCCAACGCGGUUGCUGCCUUCCCCUCAGCCAUCUCCGCCGAUGCAGCGUCCUUCAAGUGGGGUUGGCCAAGCGCGUCUUCCAUGUGCGGUCAGCGUAUCCUUCUCUUCUCAUCGUUUCUCUCUGUCCUUCCCCUUGGCGGCUCCGUCGCUUCUCUGUCCCUGCCGAUUUGUAUCGAGAUGGAUUCGGCGGUGGUAGGGUCUGAUGAAACCAUAGCUGCCAUCUUCGCCCAGGUCGACCCCCAUACCGUCGACUUUCCUCGGGCUCUUCCGCAGCCAUCGUCCGUGGCCGCUGGCCAACGUUAUCAAGGCGCCAGGGGCCCAAUCUUCCGUCCCAAUCCCUUCCAUUGCUUUGGAUUUAGGCUACAGGAAAGCACGGAUACAAACAGGGCUUCAGGAACAUGAUGCUGCUCCUUCAGAUUAGCAUCUGCUACGAAGAUGGGCAACCAGAUACUAAAUGUUCAUGCAUGUUUCUGCUGAAUAGGUAACCACAUGUACAUGUCUUGUGAACCUGACAAUGGCACAGCUAUGGUACGUUUGACUUAUAUAUUUGUUUUGAUUUGGUACACAGUUGGAUUGUAUUGACAUCUUGGUUACUAUCUGAAACACUUGGUGUGCCAAUUCCUGCAUGGUAUAUGUGUACUUGGAUUGCAAAGUCAUAGCCUUAUCACGUAGAUUACAAAUUCAUAGUUAAAAUUCUGUAGUUCCUGAUGCUCCAUGAUAUUUUUCAUGUUCCAUACAAUGGCUAUACUGCUUACUGUAAAAGGCAUGGUACUAAACGCAUGGUUUGCCUAUACAUACUAUUUGUUUACUACACUACAUGGAACUCUACAUAUAAAAUAACUUUACUACAACCAAUUUAUUAUUGAUAUGUGAUGAUAUGUCUAUACAUUGACCUCUUUACACCGUCCACUAUUGCAGAUCUCAUAACUCUGUAGAGUUCAAGCUUAGUGCAGCUUUUUGGAAAUAUGCUAUUAGAAGCAUGACCUCUUGCUUCCCAUUUUUGUAUUAUUUACCUGAACAUUUGUGGCCUUUGAUGUACUUCACAUUUUGUGUUCCACUGGGAACAGUUGGUGCAAUAUUAUGCGGGUAACAGAGAUUCUCAAGAUGCGAAUCAAAUUGUUAUAGUCUA